CAUGACCUUGCUCAAGCGGUUCAGGACGCCUCAUGUCAGAAGUUACACGACAGAGUCGUUGUAAGCAUACGUUUCCCACGAAUUAUCCGGUAUGACGUGCUCGAAGGAAACUGUAUAUGGCUCUGGAACUGUAUUCUGCUGGGUGGCACACAUCAACAGGACAAUGCCGUCUUCAUCGGAACCACUGGAAUCACUUCACCAUUGUCUUUGCUGGCAUACAAUCUUCGAGUUUUUGAUCAAUCCCCACAGAUGGCUAUAGGUGAUCCCACAAUCAAAUAUGAUUGGCUAUCUCUCUUAUAUAUUUUUUCACAUAUUGACUAAAUUCUGUCUAUAGCAGUUGCUUUAUAUAAUGUAAAAUAUAUAUUUCUUCAUUUGUUAUUAGCUUUUGUGUAACUAUUCUGUAUAUACCUUAUUGUAACAACUGUUUUAUGUACUGUAUGCCUGACUGGCUUUUGGUAAUGUAAUUCAGUGUGCACUGGUGAAGCACUGCGUAUUUAAGCAUCAAUUAUGUAUCUCUCCUUAGCAGUUGACAUUCAUGGAGUCAUAACAUCUGCUCCGUUCACCGCCACUGCCUACCAUCAGGGUAUAAUUUCUUCUUUUAAUAUUUGUUAUACAUGAUGUAUUUCAUAUAUUACUGCUAUUAUCAGACAACCCUCUAAAUGCAUUCUGUGCCCAUACUUCAGUAUAAACAUCUGAGGAUGGUCAUAUAAUGAUCAAAUCUGGUAACCACUGAAAUAAAUGUUUCACUGUGGUCGA